AUUGAACGCUGGCGGCAUGCCUUACACACGCAAGUCGAACGGUAACAGGUCUUCGGAUGCUGACGAGUGGCGAACGGGUGAGUAAUACAUCGGAACGUGCCCGAGAGUGGGGGAUAACGAGGCGAAAGCUUUGCUAAUACCGCAUACGAUCUCAGGAUGAAAGCAGGGGACCGCAAGGCCUUGCGCUCACGGAGCGGCCGAUGGCAGAUUAGGUAGUUGGUGGGAUAAAAGCUUACCAAGCCGACGAUCUGUAGCUGGUCUGAGAGGACGACCAGCCACACUGGGACUGAGACACGGCCCACAUUCCUACGGGAGGCAGCAGUGGGAAAUUUUGGACAAUGGGCGCAAGCCUGAUCCAGCCAUGCCGCGUGCAGGAUGAAGGCCUUCGGGUUGUAAACUGCUUUUGUACGGAACGAAAAGACUCUGGUUAAUACCUGGGGUCCAUGACGGUACCGUAAGAACAAGCACCGGCUAACUACGUGCCAGCAGCCGCCGUAACAC
rnacentral:rRNA from 1 species